UUAGAGUUUGCUUUUGGCUCAGGAUGAACGCUAGCGGCAGGCUUAACACAUGCAAGUCGAGGGGCAGCAUGUCCAGCAAUGGAUGAUGGCGACCGGCGGAAGGGUGCGUAACGCGUGAGCAACAUGCCCUAUACAGGGAGAUACACCAGGGAAACUUGGUCUAAUAUCCCAUAGCAUUCAUUGAAGGCAUCUUUAAUGAAUUAAAGCUUCGGUGGUAUAGGAUUGGCUCGCGUGACAUUAGCCAGAUGGUGAGGUAACGGCUCACCAUAGCAAUGAUGUCUAGGGGUUUUGAGAGGAAGGCCCCCCACACUGGGACUGAGACACGGCCCAGACUCCUACGGGAGGCAGCAGUGAGGAAUAUUGGACAAUGGAUGGAAAUCUGAUCCAGCCAUGCCGCGUGCAGGAAGACGGCCUUAUGGGUUGUAAACUGCUUUUAUACGGGAGCAAUAAGGGUUACGAGUAAUCCGAUGAGAGUACUGUAUGAAUAAGGAUCGGCUAACUCCGUGCCAGCAGCCGCGGUAAUACGGAGGAUCCGAGCGUUAUCCGGAAUUAUUGGGUUUAAAGGGUGCGUAGGCGGCCAUUUAAGUCAGCGGUGAAAUUUUGCAGCUUAACUGUAACAGUGCCGUUGAUACUGUUUGGCUAGGAUUUGGUUGUAGUGUGCGGAAUGUGUGGUGUAGCGGUGAAAUGCUUAGAUAUCACACAGAACACCGAUUGCGAAGGCAGCACACUAAGUCAUUAUUGACGCUGAGGCACGAAAGUGUGGGGAUCAAAAAGGAUUAGAUACCCUGGUAGUCCACACUGUA
rnacentral:rRNA from 1 species